CAGUAGCCACGGUAAUACGGAGGGAGCUAGCGUUGUUCGGAAUUACUGGGCGUAAAGCGCGCGUAGGCGGUUACUCAAGUCAGAGGUGAAAGCCCGGGGCUCAACCCCGGAACUGCCUUUGAAACUAGGUGACUAGAAUCUUGGAGAGGUCAGUGGAAUUCCGAGUGUAGAGGUGAAAUUCGUAGAUAUUCGGAAGAACACCAGUGGCGAAGGCGACUGACUGGACAAGUAUUGACGCUGAGGUGCGAAAGCGUGGGGAGCAAACAGGAUUAGAUACCCCCGUAGUCCCUGUCUCUUAUAC
rnacentral:rRNA from 1 species